rnacentral:rRNA from 1 species
AAUGGGCGCAAGCCUGAUGCAGCCAUGCCGCGUGUAUGAAGAAGGCCUUCGGGUUGUAAAGUACUUUCAGCGAGGAGGAAGGUGUUGUGGUUAAUAACCGCAGCAAUUGACGUUACUCGCAGAAGAAGCACCGGCUAACUCCGUGCCAGCAGCCGCGGUAAUACGGAGGGUGCAAGCGUUAAUCGGAAUUACUGGGCGUAAAGCGCACGCAGGCGGUCUGUCAAGUCGGAUGUGAAAUCCCCGGGCUCAACCUGGGAACUGCAUCCGAAACUGGCAGGCUAGAGUCUUGUAGAGGGGGGUAGAAUUCCAGGUGUAGCGGUGAAAUGCGUAGAGAUCUGGAGGAAUACCGGUGGCGAAGGCGGCCACCUGGACGGUAACUGACGCUGAGGUGCGAAAGCGUGGGUAGCAAA